AACGAACGCUGGCGGCAUGCCUAACACAUGCAAGUCGAACGAGAUCUUCGGGUCUAGUGGCGCACGGGUGCGUAACGCGUGGGAAUCUGCCCUUUGGUUCGGAAUAACAGUUGGAAACGACUGCUAAUACCGGAUGAUGACGAAAGUCCAAAGAUUUAUCGCCAGAGGAUGAGCCCGCGUAGGAUUAGCUAGUUGGUGUGGUAAAGGCGCACCAAGGCGACGAUCCUUAGCUGGUCUGAGAGGAUGAUCAGCCACACUGGGACUGAGGCACGGCCCAGACUCCUACGGGAGGCAGCAGUGGGGAAUAUUGGACAAUGGGCGAAAGCCUGAUCCAGCAAUGCCGCGUGAGUGAUGAAGGCCUUAGGGUUGUAAAGCUCUUUUACCCGGGAUGAUAAUGACAGUACCGGGAGAAUAAGCUCCGACUAACUCCGUGCCAGCAGCCGCCGUAA
rnacentral:rRNA from 1 species